rnacentral:piRNA from 1 species
UAGAAGAGAGGGCACAGCUGCCAGGCGU